GAAAGCGUAAUAGCUCACUAGUCGAGUCGGCCUGCGCGGAAGAUGUAACGGGGCUAAGCAAUAUACCGAAGCUGCGGCAGCACAGUUUACUGUGCUGGGUAGGGGAGCGUUGUGUAAGUGGAUGAAGGUGAGUUGUAAAGCUUGCUGGACAUAUCACAAGUGCGAAUGCUGACAUGAGUAACGAUAAUGGGAGUGAAAAACUCCCACGCCGGAAGACCAAGGUUUCCUGUCCCAUGCUAAUCAGGGCAGGGUAAGUCGGCCCCUAAGGCGAGGCAGAAAUGCGUAGUCGAUGGGAAACGGAUUAAUAUUUCCGUACUUGUAUAAUCAGUGAUGGAGGGACGGAGAAGGCUAGGCAAGCUUGGCGUUGGUAGUCCAAGUGAAAGUGUGUAGGCCGAGAGUUUAGGUAAAUCCGGACUCUUAAAGUCGAGACACGAGACGAGCUCCCAAGGGAGUGAAGUUGUUGAUGCCCUGCUUCCAGGAAAAGCUUCUAAACUUAUGAUUAUAUGAACCGUACCCCAAACCGACACAGGUGGUCAGGUAGAGAAUACUAAGGCGCUUGAGAGAACUCGGGUGAAGGAACUCGGCAAAAUUGUACCGUAACUUCGGGAGAAGGUACGCCCUUGCUUGUGAUAGGACUUGCUCCUUGAGCGAAUGAGGGCCGCAGUGACCAGGUGGCUGGGACUGUUUAUUAAAAACACAGCACUCUGCUAACUCGCAAGAGGACGUAUAGGGUGUGACACCUGCCCGGUGCCGGAAGGUUAAUUGAUGGGGUUAGCGUAAGCGAAGCUCUUGAUCGAAGCCCCGGUAAACGGCGGCCGUAACUAUAACGGUCCUAAGGUAGCGAAAUUCCUUGUCGGGUAAGUUCCGACCUGCACGAAUGGUGUAACCAUGGCCACGCUGUCUCCACCCGAGACUCAGUGAAAUUGAAAUCGCAGUGAAGAUGCUGUGUACCCGCACCUAGACGGAAAGACCCCGUGAACCUUUACUACAGCUUGGCACUGAACAUUGAACCUACAUGUGUAGGAUAGGUGGGAGGCUUCGAAGCACAGUCGCUAGAUUGUGUGGAGCCGUCCUUGAAAUACCACCCUUGUAUGUUUGAUGUUCUAACAUUGGCCCCUUAUCGGGGUUGUGGACAGUGUCUGGUGGGUAGUUUGACUGGGGCGGUCUCCUCCCAAAUAGUAACGGAGGAGCACGAAGGUUAGCUAAUCACGGUCGGACAUCGUGAGGUUAGUGCAAUGGCAUAAGCUAGCUUAACUGCGAGACAGACACGUCGAGCAGGUACGAAAGUAGGUCAUAGUGAUCCGGUGGUUCUGUAUGGAAGGGCCAUCGCUCAACGGAUAAAAGGUACUCCGGGGAUAACAGGCUGAUACCGCCCAAGAGUUCA
rnacentral:rRNA from 1 species